CAGCAGCCGCGGUAAUACGGAGGGGGUUAGCGUUGUUCGGAAUUACUGGGCGUAAAGCGUACGUAGGCGGAUCAGAAAGUAUAGGGUGAAAUCCCGAGGCUCAACCUCGGAACUGCCUUGUAAACUCCUGGUCUUGAGUUCGAGAGAGGUGAGUGGAAUUCCAAGUGUAGAGGUGAAAUUCGUAGAUAUUUGGAGGAACACCAGUGGCGAAGGCGGCUCACUGGCUCGAUACUGACGCUGAGGUACGAAAGUGUGGGGAGCAAACAGGAUUAGAUACCCUGGUAGUCCACACCGUAAACGAUGAAUGCCAGUCGUCGGGCAGUAUACUGUUCGGUGACACACCUAACGGAUUAAGCAUUCCGCCUGGGGAGUACGGUCGCAAGAUUAAAACUCAAAGGAAUUGACGGGGGC
rnacentral:rRNA from 12 species